GAUGAAGAACGUAGCGAAAUGCGAUAAGUAAUGCGAAUUGCAGAAUUCAGUGAGUCAUCGAAUCUUUGAACGCACAUUGCGCCCUGUGGUAUUCCGCAGGGCAUGCCUGUUCGAGCGUCAUUUCAACCCUCAAGCCUCGCUUGGUGUUGGGCCCUGCCCGCCGCGGCCGGCCCUAAAGAUAGUGGCGGCGCCGCCUGGCCCUCAGCGUAGUACAGCUCUCGCUCCAGGGUCCGGCGGCAGCAUGCCAGAACCCCCCAACUCUGUGGUUGACCUCGGAUCAGGUAGGGAUACCCGCUGAACUUAAGCAUAUCAAUAAGCGGAGGA
rnacentral:misc_RNA from 1 species